rnacentral:rRNA from 1 species
AUUGAACGCUGGCGGCAGGCCUAACACAUGCAAGUCGGGCGGAUGAAGGGAGCUUGCUCCUGGAUUCAGCGGCGGACGGGUGAGUAAUGCCUAGGAAUCUGCCUGGUAGUGGGGGAUAACGUCCGGAAACGGGCGCUAAUACCGCAUACGUCCUGAGGGAGAAAGUGGGGGAUCUUCGGACCUCACGCUAUCAGAUGAGCCUAGGUCGGAUUAGCUAGUUGGUGGGGUAAAGGCCUACCAAGGCGACGAUCCGUAACUGGUCUGAGAGGAUGAUCAGUCACACUGGAACUGAGACACGGUCCAGACUCCUACGGGAGGCAGCAGUGGGGAAUAUUGGACAAUGGGCGAAAGCCUGAUCCAGCCAUGCCGCGUGUGUGAAGAAGGUCUUCGGAUUGUAAAGCACUUUAAGUUGGGAGGAAGGGCAGUAAGUCAAUACCUUGCUGUUUUGACGUUACCAACAGAAUAAGCACCGGCUAACUUCGUG